rnacentral:lncRNA from 1 species
ACUAUCUGCUGGUGUAUCAAACAUAUAUUAGUAAUGUUUCAGGUGUGUAUAAAAAGGUAUCGAAUGUAUCAAAGAUUAUCAAGUGCAUCAAGUGUAUGAAUCAAAUGUAUUAGGUGUAUCAAGAAGUAUCAGGUGUAUUAAGGGGUGUAUUAGGUGUAUCAGACAUGUACAAGGUGUAUCAAAGGUAUAUUAGUAACGAGGGCAGUUGUGACAUUUUACCUUUUAAUUUGUGGACUGAGCUUCGUUUUUAUAAUUUUUGCAAAUAAUAAAGUGUGUGCACUAUGGACUUAAUUACUAAAACUUAUUUUGUUAUUUUUGCAAGUGUCAAUUUUAAAAAACUAAUAAAAAUAAUUUUCAUAACACUACCUAGGUAAAUCUUUUCUAAAUACAUAUUAUCAUAUUCCAACUUUUUCUAUAGCCCAAGGAUAUUUAUUACAAGCAUUUUGCCUCAUAACUUAAUCCUUCUCCUAAACUGCCUCAAAAUGACCUAAUCAAAAUGAUUAUUCUCCAAAUGUUUUCAUCUAGUAAACACUAAUUGUAAAUAUUUUGAUUUAUUCUAUGUAUUUGAAAAUAGCCAUCAAGAAAAUGAUGGCUGGGAAGGAGCAAAAUAUAUAGGUAAUAUUAGAGUACAUUCUCGACCUUACCAAAAGGUUAGAGAUUUAUUUUGUUACAUAACGCAGGUGGUCUAUUGAAGAUACAAAAGAAAGCAACAAAUUGUCUAGUUGGUUAUUGAAACAACUUGCAACUCGAAGUAGGCCACAAGUUUAGAUUUUGGAGGCAAAACCUGUUUGACCACACUGUUGUUUACAAUCUCUUCACUCCAUUUGGUUAACUUUGGAAACUUUUUUGUUGUUAACAGCUCAAAUCCAAAAGCUUCUUCAAUGGCUGGGAUCCAAUAUGCAAUUACAGUUCCAACAAUGUCCACAAUUCCAAUUUUAUUUCCUCCAAAGAACUUCUUGUUUUGAAGCUCUUUCUCAAGUGGUUUUAAUGUCUCCUCUGUUUCUUCCAAACCCUUCUCUCUCUCUUCUCUUUUGCUGCUUUUUGCAGCCUUCAGUGUAGCAGCCAAAACCUAUAUCAUGAAUUGAAAUUAUAUAUAUUAUGAACACAUUGAUACCGUUAAAGUAAGCAGUGAUCAAUAAAAUAAACAAAUUUACUUACAUACCUUGUCAUCUAUAUAAUUAGCCCAGAAUCUUGCUUGAGCUGUUUCGUAGGGAUUUUGUUGAGGAAAGAAAGGAUAAAGUGAGUUCCAAACUUGAUCGAUGUACUCAAGAAUUAUAAGUGACUCUGAGAUGGGGUUUCCGUUGUGAAGAAAAACAGGGACUUUCUUGUAAAUUGGGUUGUAAGUCAAAAGGAAAUCACUUUUGUUCUUCAAAUCUUCUUCAUGAUAUUUAUAAUCAAUGCCUUUGAGUUUCAAACCCAACUCCACUCUCCGGCUAAAUGGACUCAUCCAUCCACCAAACAAUUCCACUUCUUCCCCCAUCGCCAUAGAUAUUGCUAAUCUCUGUCUGAUUGUUUUUAAUAACAAGAAUGAUAAUACACAAAAGCUGAGUCUUUAUUGUGAAUAAUUUGGAAUAUGAGAGGAAGUAUUUAUAUAGAGGAAUUAGGAAAUGGGUAGGAAGAGAAGGGAAAAGUGUGUUUGGAUUCGUGUAAGAGAGUGAGUUGUUUAGUCUCAAUUUUCUUGAGGUGGAUGGUUGAAUGUUGUCGUAAGGCAUUAUGUAAUACUUUUUUUUAUAAUACCGAAUAUACCCUCCAUUUUCGAGGUUUGAUCAAUCGCCAAUUCAUCCUCGCGCUUUCUCAUCGCCGACCCUUCUUCUUUCUCUGCUUUCUUCUUCUCAGCUCCAUCUUAGCAUCCUCAAGAGCAUUAAUCAAUCUUUUAAAACACUCCACCUGUUUCUUCCCCUUCUUCUUUUCGACAUCAAAUUCUCUACCCCAUCCGACACUGUCAUUUCUAUUUAUUCUCAUAUCUUUAACCUUCUUCUUACUCAUCUGCUUCCUCUUAUCUUCAUCUUCCUCCUCCUUUGUUUCUUUUCUUCUAUUACUGAACAGUUAGAUCUAGGUAUAUAUUAUUAUAAUAUAAUGUAUCUCAUUCCUCAUUACUCAUAGAGUUAUGGUCACUAUACUCUUCAUCUUCUUCCUUAAAGAGUCCAUUUCCAUCUUUAUUCUCCUUAGAUUAAUUGAAGAAUUAGUUGUGAAUUAGUUGUCUAACACUUCUCAAUUUUUUGUUUAUGUAGUUUGUGUAUUACUUACUCAUACACCCGUCUUUAUUAAUAAACUCUACCAAUUUCUAUUAUAGAUAGACAUUUAUCAAUUUUUAUGAUAGAUUUUUAUCAACAUCCAUAAACGAUAGAUUCAUUGUCUAUUAAUAAAUAUUUAGGAUAGAUAGUGAUAAAUAACUAUUAAUGAUAGAUAAUGAUAGACUUUUAUUAUUAUCUAUCAUUGAGUUUCUAUUAUUGAUAUGUAAUGAUAGUUCAAGUAAUCGAGAUUAAUGGACUUGGGUUUGAACCAAGCUUUGGGGUGUUUUUAAAAUUUCACUUAUGGUAUAGUUGAAAUGGGUAGAAGUAUAUAAACUUUUGCUAUUAAUCGUAAAUAGUUUGUUAUUUUUAAAAAUCUUCCUUUUAAAUGUUUGGAAAGAAAUAAAGUUGAGUUUCUUUGUUAAGCAUUCUCAAUAAAAAUAAUAAUAAAAAAGUUCAAUUCAACCAAUUUGAAAAUAUGUCUAUAUUUUUUGGUUUGGAAGGAAAAACGUGUAUUUAAAAUUUAAUGUUUGAAAUGUAAUUGAAAGGGAAAAUUUUAAGAAUUUAUUAAUAUAGACAACUUUUAUCGAAGGGUGUUUGCAAAAAUAGCAAAAAAAAUUAUGAUAAUAGGAUCUAUACUUGUUAUCUAAUUAUACUCGUAUGUCUAAUUGUUAUAUUUGUUAUAGUAUCAUGAGUUAUUUUUUUUUAUAUGCAAUUUUUUUUAUGGAGACAGUGACACGGUUCAUUUAAAAUUCGUAAAUUCUCAAAUUACAAAUAGAAAUGUGAUAUUAUCUCUACCACCAAAACUAAAAAGUUUAUUCUAACUAUUAAUCCACCCUAAAACCCAACCAAAUUCAAAGAUAUGAACUAUUAAAUUGAAUAAAUGAAUAUGAUUAUUUUAAUCACUAGAUGGUCUUGAUUGAUAUUAAUUUUGCAUUUAUCACGUCUUGUCAUUUAAAAUUCGUAAAUUCUCAAAUUACAAAUAGAAAUGUGAUAUUAUCUCUACCACCAAAACUAAAAAGUUUAUUCUAACUAUUAAUCCACCCUAAAACCCAACCAAAUUCAAAGAUAUGAACUAUUAAAUUGUAUAAAUGAAUAUGAUUAUUUUAAUCACUAGAUGGUCUUGAUUGAUAUUAAUUUUGCAUUUAUCACGUCUUGUCAUCCAUAUAUAUAUACACUUUGCUCAAAACCUAACCAAAGACUAAGAGCUCUUUCCUAGGAUGGUUGAGAUACAAUAGGGUUGUGUAUUAAUUUACCCAUGUUUGUCGUAUUUGAUAGAUGAUAUAUUAUUAAUUUUAUCUUCACCUAUCGAUUUAAGUUUUUAAAUGAAUCGUUAAUUAACAUAAUAUCAGAGCGAGCAAGUGGUUUAAGCAAAACAAUUAGACUCCUACUUUUAGAAAGAGUACACUAUUUUAAAUAUGCUUUCACAAUUUAUAAAAUAAAUGGUACUAGAGACUUAGGGUGUGAGAUAUGUAGUCUCUAGUAAUUGAAAUUAAGAACCCUAAUGAGAUGGAUUGAGUUAGAUACGAAUUAACUUGAGAGAUCAAAUAUUUUUAAAUAAGAAGAGAUUCCUUAAUUAUCCAAGGAUUAGAACACUCCACAAAAUAAGUUACGUUGUUGAUCAAUUCCACUUGAAUUGUUCUUGACAUGCAAUUCGAUACUUGAACUACAAGAUUCAAGAAGCUCUUUUGGGUAAACUUGAAGAAGUACACGAGUCCAAAACUCAAUUCAUCUUAAUACUCUUAAAACAACCCAACAACAAGACUUAAAUAAUCUCCCUCAUAAAAACCAUAAUUCAUUGUAAAAAGACCGAAUUGACUCUACUUCAAUUAUAAUUACCCAAACUCAUUUUGUUCAGACAAUUUUUAAUCCAACCAUCUCUCUCAUUGUUUUCACAAAAAGCUCUCAUUAUUAUUUUGUCUUUGACUAUUCAUGGUCAACAACAUUCAUACGUUUCAAAUUUUCUUGCAAAAGAUCAACAACAAAACUAACAUAAACUAAUAUAUAACUUUUUUGGAAAUUCCUAAUACACGAUUUUUACAACAUAAAUGUUUAGACUAUUCUUAAAUCACUUAGAUGUGAAUAAGGGAUUCGAUCUAAGCUCUAGAUCAUAUGGGGUAUGCAUGGUUGAAUAUGAGAGGUAGCUCCACUCUUGCAACCAAAACGACUAUACCAAGAAAGCCCAAGACUUGAACUUGUUAUGCCAUAUCCCAAAUUGAUUGAGACACUGUUUGUAUGGGAAAAGGGUGUGUGGUUUAAUUUAGAUUAAUAUAAAUAGAGGAAUGAAAGCUAAGAAAGGUCAACCUUCGUUUGUUUGAAUUUCUUGGGGCAGAGGCUAAAGGGUGUCGUAAGCUGCUGCGUAUGCCAUUUAUUGCUUGCUCUUCAAUUUUCUCCAUCACUAAUGCUUUGUCUAAACUAAUUAAAUUUUGCUACUUUAAAAUUUCUUUUUACAACAUAAUUUUUCUUAUAUAUAAGCGAUGAGAGAACUCUUUUUUUCUUUUUAUAUAUAUAUUUUAUUUUUUUAUUUUUUAUAUAAUGAGAGUGAGAGUGAGAUGCAUAAAGAUAAGUGCAUUUUGUGGUAUACUCAAAUAAUAUUGUUAUGGUUAAAAGAAAGUUAUACACUUUUUUUUUUCUUUUGUGUAAUUGAGCGUGAUGCAUGAAAACAACAUUUUAAAUAUUGCUCUUUUUUCUAAUUCAAUCACAUAGUUAAAAAAUUAAAUUAAAAAAGAGAAUUUUGACAACUAUUUCAUUAGAGAUUUGGUGGUUUGCAUGAAGAGGAGUGUGACUCAAGAUAUAUUAAAAAGUUUCUAACCAACAAAGUGAAUCAUGCUUGAAGGAGUGCUGUGAUUUUUUAUUUAAUGAUUUGAUAAAGUUAUGAACUUAAACAUGUGAGGAGUUGUCUUCGUUAAAGUUCAAGUUGUUAAUAAAAGUAGCUGAACUUAGACUAUUAUAUGGGUGAAAUACCAUUAUUUUCUUCUAAUUCCAUUUUAAAUAUAACUCAAAAUGACAUGAACAAAAUUAUCUUUAUCGAAAAGUUCUCAUUCAGAAAAUACUAUUUGUAAAUAUUUUGAUUUGUUUGAUGUAUUUGAAAAUAGAUUAGGAUGAUUAUAAAAAGGAUGGUUGGAAAGGAGUAAAAUAUAGAGUAAGAGUACAUUCUCAACCUUUACCAAAAGGUCAGAGAUUUAUUUUAUUACAUAACCAAGGUGGUCUAUUGAAGAUACAAAAGAAAGCAACAAAUCUUCUAGUUGGCCGUUAAAACAACUUGCAGGUAGGCCACAAGGACAGAUUUUGGAGGCAAAACCUGUUUGACCACACUGUUCUUUACAAUCUCUUCACUCCAUUUGGUUAACUUUGGAAACUUUUUACUUGUCAACAGCUCAGAUCCAAAACCUUCCUCAAUGGCUGGGAUCC